GAACCCUUCUUCUCCUCAUGAAUUCUUUUCUUUGCAGUUGGAAGGAAAUACCCAAUUCUAAAGGGCAAACCCUAGGUGAACUAGCGAUUUGUGGCCCAAAAAUUCGACCCACAUCUACCAUCGCCAGAACCCAUCAAAGAAGAUGCUAUUAUAUAAGUUGUUUGGGUAAGUUAUCGACAAUAGAUUUGAGCGUAAUCAAUUUCUCCAAUCUUCUUACAGAAGUUCAUGAUACAAUGUGGGGAAAAAAAUGUACUUACUUGUCGACGUAAUUCAUCACGCAUAAAUUGUUGUUUAAAAAAAAUUUAAUAUCCAUCUAUGUAGAUUACAGAGAGAUGUACCAGUGAACUUAGCCACAUGUUUUUAGUUUAUAUUUAUGUAUAUAGCGUAGAAAACUUGUUAUUGAAUUCAUAGCGUAGGAAACUUGUUAUUGAAAUAAUGUCCAGAAGAAGAUUACAAUGACAGGGAAGAACAAGGACAUUUGUUAUUGUUGUAAGAAGCACCGACACCAAUUUUCAGAUUGCCCAUCGAAGCAACGAUGUCUAGAUUGUGGGUCGAGGUUCAUGAAAUGUAUGGAGGUCGAGAAGAAUACUAGAAACAUAUGAUAACUGUUCUUAUGUUACACAAGAGAUUGUGGAUUUUUUUAUUGGAAUGAUGCUUCGUCAUCGAGGGCAAAACCGAUGCAAUUUUAAGGAGAAGAUUUGUCGUCCAUGUUCAAGACAUUUGCUCAAAUAACUAAAGAAAAAGACAUGAAGAUAUCAUUGAACAUAACUAUGCGUAAGGGAAAAUGAUCUAUAUAAAGUGUGUUUGCCAUUUUUAUGUUUGUGUAGUAGGCACCAACUUCGGUUUAAAUUAUGUUUGGUGUAUGUUGUUGGCCACAUGGAAUGUGGGCGUGCAUUAAUCCUUUAAGUGGGCAUACAUUCAAAGAUGCCAACUGGGAAACUUGUAUGCUGAAUAUCAAGUGACAUUUUUGCUUAAUUUGUAAUAUGAACUGUAUUUUAUAUUCUAUUCAGUGACU
rnacentral:lncRNA from 1 species